rnacentral:rRNA from 1 species
GAUGAACACUGGCGGCGUGCCUAAUACAUGCAAGUCGAGCGAACAGAUGAGGAGCUUGCUCCUCUGACGUUAGCGGCGGACGGGUGAGUAACACGUGGAUAACCUACCUAUAAGACUGGGAUAACUUCGGGAAACCGGAGCUAAUACCGGAUAAUAUAUUUAACCGCAUGGUUCAAUAGUGAAAGACGGUUUUGCUGUCACUUAUAGAUGGAUCCGCGCCGCAUUAGCUAGUUGGUAAGGUAACGGCUUACCAAGGCAACGAUGCGUAGCCGACCUGAGAGGGUGAUCGGCCACACUGGAACUGAGACAGGGUCCAGACUCCUAAGGGAGGCAGCAGUAGGGAAUCUUCCGCAAUGGGCGAAAGCAUGACGGAGCAACGCCGCGUGAGUGAUGAAGGUCUUCGGAUCGUAAAACUCUGUUAUUAGGGAAGAACAAAUGUGUAAGUAAAUAUGCACGUAUUGACGGUAACUAAUCAGAAAGCCACGGCUAACUACGUG